ensembl:snRNA U6 U6 spliceosomal RNA
GUGCUCGCUUCACAAGCACGUAUACGAAAAUUGGAACCAUACAGAGAAGGACAGCAUGGCCCCUGAGCAAAAGCAAGUCACAGAUUUUUCUUUUAGCAUUCCUGAGUUUU